GACGGAGGGGGCUAGCGUUGUUCGGAAUUACUGGGCGUAAAGCGCGUGUAGGCUGCUCUGCAAGUCGGAUGUGAAAGCCCUGGGCUCAACCUAGGAAGUGCAUUCGAAACUACGGAGCUGGAGUUCUGGAGAGGAAGGCGGAAUUCUCGGUGUAGAGGUGAAAUUCGUAGAUAUCGAGAGGAACACCGGUGGCGAAGGCGGCCUUCUGGACAGUGACUGACGCUGAGACGCGAAAGCGUGGGGAGCAAACAGG
rnacentral:rRNA from 1 species